CCCGCACAAGCGGUGGAGCAUGUGGUUUAAUUCGAUGGUACGCGAGGAACCUUACCUGGGUUUGACAUACGGAGGGAAGUGGCAGCGAUGUCACUGUGUCGCGAGACGACUCCGUACAGGUGCUGCAUGGCUGUCGUCAGCUCGUGCCGUGAGGUGUCGGGUUAAGUCCCAUAACGAGCGCAACCCUUAUCGUUAGUUGCCAUCUGGUAAUGCAGGGGACUCUAGCGAAACUGCCACCGUAAGGUGAGAGGAAGUGGGGAUGACGUCAAAUCAGCACGGCCCUUAUGUCCAGGGCUACACACGUGUUACAAUGGUCGGUACAGAGGGCAGCUACCUGGUGACAGGAUGCUAAUCUCGAAAACCGGUCUCAGUUCGGAUCGAAGUCUGCAACUCGACUUCGUGAAGCUGGAUUCGCUAGUAAUCGCGCAUCAGCUAUGGCGCGGUGAAUACGUUCCCGGGCCUU
rnacentral:rRNA from 1 species